CAGGGACCAGUGGUCUGGCUUGGAAAACUACUUCUUAGUGGUUCAGUAUGUUCACAAAUUUCCUUAAGCUUCUCAGAAGAUAAACAAUUAGGUGGGAUCAGAGAGCGAGAGAGUGAAGAGAAGUCUCUGCCAUGACGCAGGCCGGUGAAGAUAAAGCAAUGAACCACAGAUGAUCUUCACUGGUCUGUCCGUGACUGCUCUGCUGUGAUUUCUGUGACAUGUCCUUCAAAAGAGCAUUCACCUUUCUUUUGCAGCUGCUGACCUCUUGCCUCUGCCUGUUUCUCCAUGUUUUACCAUCCACUUCAGAAAGGGGCUAGCAAUUAUGUGCCUGAUGUUUCCCUAACCUUGACCACCUUGAAAUGUGAUUUUGUGAUUUUUGUUGAAAUAUAGGACAUGGAUCCCUUGCAGGCUUUUACAAACAUGAGAGUUCCCAUGUGUCGUUGACACUGAUGAAUUGCUAGAUCACUACAGAACAACUUGGAAAUGGCAACGAAGCUGGCUCCACUGCAGCUAACUUGAGCUCCUAAGAGGGACCAGAGGGGUUUUUUGAUUCUUUUUAUUAUGUGAUAUCAAUUAAGCAUUUAACAAGUUACAAUAAAAAGCAACUUUCCAAUGGAAUUUUUAAUGCAAUGAAAACAAAUUACCUUCAAGAUGGUUAUCAUUUGGAAUCUUGAAGGGAAUGAAAAUAAGGCAAAUGCCAACACAUAUUCAUCCAGAUUGCCCAUAACAACUUGCCAGGCAUCCCUGUUUCAAAUCAAGUAAAUCUGUGCAGCUUCUCUUUGACAGCAACACAAAAUCCCUUGUGAAAUGCAUUGAAUGGCACAGCUGAGGCAGAAUGUUAGCAGAAGAUACUGCGCCAAGCAGCUUUUGUUUUGAAGUGGGUACUUCUGUUAUGCAAUCCUCUUAGAAUUUGCUUCUUUCAAAGAAUGAAAGACAAAAAAAAAUAGCCUCAGCAAACAAAAACCACAAAUCCCAUACAUUUCUUAACUUGGUUGAUGCUUCUCCACUUGGACACAGUAUAUUCACAGCAAUUCCAAAAUUCUGGCAUUGUCACAUACUAUAUUUGUGUCACUCAGCUGGAAUAAAGGACCAAAGAGUGCAUGGCUGGGAUGAAGGUGUUUAGUGGAAGUGUGAGGCUUCAACUCUCUCAACAAGAAACAUAAACAGAAAAUAGAAGUGAAAUUCACUAAUAUCAACAAUGUGCUAAAUAAGCCCAUGAGCAACUUUAACAACUCACUUUAAUUCUGAGACUUUCUGUAGUCACAAGGAAGAUGAGACUACGGACAGAAGUUUCAUAAUAUGGAAACAUGAAUUUAUAAGCUUAAGAUCUUGUCCAUGUAAUUUUGCAUAUAUCCAAAAUAAGGAAACCUAAUCUUAAUAUUGAAAACUUCUGAGCCCUUCAUCAAAGACUCACUUUAUCAACAGGUAUGAGGGAGAGUGCAGGUGGUUAACUCCCCAUACCAUUUCUCAUAAAAAGCCACUCUCAAAUCCACAUAUGCACUCUCAGGCUGUGGGGAUGAGUAGCAUAUUUUGCCCUUUCCCUGCUUCUUUGCCGUAGGGAGAAGUGGGGAAGGAGGCACAGAGUGGAGACAAGAGGAGGUGUGGACUGUGUUUCCUGUCCAUGAGGCACACCCAGCCAAACAGAUCAUGUGUGAAGGCAAAGCAUUGCUCUGAAGAGUGGUCUGGGCUCUGCAGGCCACCUGCUCUGGAGGGAGAAGCUGUCCCUCACUGAGCUCUCCCACAUUUGUACAACAUCCGACGCUACACUUUUGCAAGCUCACUCUACACAUGUUUUCUCACCAGUGUACACAAUGUUACAGGCACCAUUCCUCCUCCCCCAAACAAGAGGAUCCUUUCAUUUCACUAAGGCACAUUGUCACGCAGACUCUGGCAGCUUAUUUCUGGUGUGAUGUGAAUAUGCACAGCACUUCUAGAGAUGUGUUGCUGUCUUUGAAGUACAGGCAGAGAAUUAUCAUCUUUGCUGUCUCCCAUGACCGAUGCUGCCUCCACACUGCUCAUUUUUAUGGAGAUUACUUAUUUUCUUGUUUCCUCUGUUCUCUGCAGAGUGUACCAAACAUGCCACAGAGCAAGGAUACACUUGGUGCUUCCCCAAGACAUAUUAGCAACAUUAGUAUAUUUCAUCUUCUCUGACCUUUUCCCUGAUGUUCUCAGAACCUCAGAAAGUCUCAUGACAACAUGGAAAAAAACCCUCCCGUGCUCCCGUGCACAUAUGUGGGCUUUCUCUUCUGUUGCACUCAAGUUCAGUUAGAUGUUCUUCAGCCUUUGAUCUUCUUUAAUCAGAAGGAAGGAGGCUGAGGAAGGAGAAUAUGAGCUUUCUUUCAUCCUUGUUCUAAUUCUUAGGUCCAAUAAAGAGGACAGAACGAGGAUGGUCAGGGAAUU